GGAUGUGAGGGCGAUCUGGCUGUGACAUCUGUUACCCCAUUGAUCGCCAGGGUUGAUUCAGCUGAUCUGGUUGGUUAGGCAGGUGUCCCCUUCCUUCCUCACUGUUCCAUGUGCAUCCUUUUGUCCCUCCAGAAGCUCUGCUCUUGGUUGCUUGGUCACUUGGUGGAAGAGGAAGCCUUCUUAAAUAGAGAUGGACCGGUCUUAGGUCUAGAGUCUAUGAGUAGCUGCACUCCCCUGCUAGAACCUCCAAACAAGCUCUCAAAAACACUUAGCUAUUGUACAACAGGAAAUUGAGUUAGGAUUCAUUUUGAUUUUGUCUGUAGGGAAUUUCA
ensembl:misc_RNA 7SK 7SK RNA